AAACCCCUCAUUGUUCGCAGCUGAUGUCACUCGCAGUUGUGAGCGGCCGCCUCUCCCGGGGACAAUGUGGGACUGAGCGGCCCAGCCGCCGUGCCGCCGCCGCCGCCGCCGCAGGACAGCCCCAGCGAGCCUCUGGAGUCCCUGUGGCAGAACUCAAAUGGAAGGAGGAGCAGCUGCACCCAGGGGAGCAGGGUGUCACCUCCGUUGGAUAGGCCAUUUCCAGCACAUAGAAGAGAGAUUGGAAACCAACGUGCAGAACUGCCAGUCCCCUGACACGCUGUGCCCCACCCACUGCAGCCCAGUGCUGAAUGAACCCUGCCCAGAGGUGUCUGUAGUGAGCUUCUGCCCUAGUGACUUUUGAGCCGGCCAGGUUGCAGCGCGGACACACUCGCAGGUCGCUGUGGCCCCAGCCUCGCCUGACAGAAUGAGCGGCUCGGACGGGGGACUGGAGGAGGAGCCAGAGCUCAGCAUCACCCUCACGCUGCGGAUGCUGAUGCACGGGAAGGAAGUGGGCAGCAUCAUCGGGAAGAAGGGCGAGACUGUAAAGCGAAUCCGGGAGCAG
rnacentral:lncRNA from 10 species